rnacentral:lncRNA from 1 species
AUGUCUCCUUGGCCCGCCUGAGCCCACUGUGGAGCCUGUUCCCCAGAACACCAUAUCCUUCCUCUCUCCCUGGACUCUCCGGGCCCCCUGGGAGCUUCUUCUGCAGAUCAGCGAUGCAGCUACCAAUGUGAGGGUAUCAAAGCCCUGGGACAACACUCCACCUGUGGGGACAGAGCUCACCCAGGUGAUGAGUCUCCAGAGAAGCUGAGGCUGGAUGUCCACCCAGGACUUGUUACCCGGGGCCCCCACUGAGGCCCCUGCUCUGCCUCCUUCCAUAGCCUGGCUCAGGCUGCCCAGAGUCAUCAGCCACCGAGUUCUCAUGUGCUGGCUGGACCACUUGAGCAGGCUGUCUUGACCUUCUGGACCUGAGCGUCCUCAUGUGCAAAUGGGGGCAACAGGCCCAUCUUAAAGGGGACCUUUGCAUGUGAUCACACAAAGGCAUGCAAGGUCAAAGUGCAGAUUGUUCGCAGCUAAGAGGCAAACUGCAGGAAGAAGCAGGAGUUGGUGAGGUUGGGGAAGGGUGGAGAGCUGCCUGUCAGGCAUUACACAUGGACACAGGCAGAGACACCCAGGCACAGCCGUACCCAAGCAUGUGCACACUCACAGACACACCCACACGUGGCACCCACACAUGAGCAUACACGGGCACAGGAGGAAGACGCUGCGGUCACACCUCGGUCAGGUCUGGGAGCAGAGGACAAGUGAGGGGCGUGGGCCAGAGAGCAGCAGGGCCUGUGGGGGCCUGUCCCUGAGCCUGGAGCAGGAAGGCCCUGCCUGGGGGAGGUGGGCUUGGAGGCCUUCCAGAGGCCGGGCCAGCAGGCUGAUGGGGCAGGAGCGGG